UACAGAGGGUGCAAGCGUUAAUCGGAAUUACUGGGCGUAAAGCGUGCGUAGACGGUUACAUAAGUCGGGUGUGAAAGCCCCGGGCUCAACCUGGGAAUUGCAUUCGAGACUGCGUAGCUAGGGUGCGGAAGAGGGAAGCGGAAUUUCCGGUGUAGCGGUGAAAUGCGUUGAUAUCGGAAGGAACGCCGGUGGCGAAAGCGGUCCGCUGGGUCCCCACUGACGCUGAGGCGCGAAAGCCAGGGGAGCAAACGGG
rnacentral:rRNA from 1 species